GCUAACAUCGGGCCAGCAGCCGGGGGAGUAGGGAGGAGGGAAUCGUGGUCUGGAGUUACGGGGCGGAAAGGGCGCGCAGGCGGGCGUUCAAGUCGCGUGGGAAAGCCCCCGGCUCAACUGGGGAGGGUCACGCGAUACUGAUCGACUCGAAGGCAGGAGAGGGUAGUGGAAUUCCCGGUGUAGUGGUGAAAUGCGUAGAUAUCGGGAGGAACACCAGUGGCGAAGGCGACUACCUGGCCUGUUCUUGACGCUGAGGCGCGAAAGCUAGGGGAGCAAACGGGAUUAGAUACCCCGGUAGUC
rnacentral:rRNA from 1 species